rnacentral:rRNA from 1 species
UUGGGAAUCUUGCACAAUGGGGGAAACCCUGAUGCAGCGACGCCGCGUGGAGGAUGAAGGAUCUAGGUCUGUAAACUCCUUUUUCAGGGAAAGACUUAGGACGGUACCCUGAGAAUAAGGACCGGCUAACUACGUGCCAGCAGCCGCGGUAAGACGUAGGGUCCAAGCGUUGUCCGGAUUUACUGGGCGUAAAGAGCGCGUAGGCGGCUCGGUAAGUGUGAAGUGAAAUCUCUAGGGCUCAACCCAGAAACUGCUUUACAUACUGUCGAGCUGGAGUGAUGAAGAGGUUUGUGGAAUUCCUGGUGUAGCGGUGAAAUGCGUUGAUAUCAGGAGGAACACCCAUGGCGAAGGCAGCAAACUGGUCAUCAACUGACGCUGAGGCGCGAAAGCGUGGGUAGCAAACAGGAUUAGAUACCCCCGUAGUCC